ACUUUCGCCGCUUUCUUCGAUCUUCGACUAUGAUCUCAUUCCACCGUCUUUUUUUCUUCUUCGCACUCUUAUAUCCAAGUUUUCAAGAUAUUCUUGAUUUGGAUGAGGAAGAUACUUGCUAUGAGAAUAACAAGCCGGUGUUUUGUCUGCCGAAAUUCGAAAAUGUGGUUGAAGGAAAAAAGAUUACGGCUUCUUCUACGUGCGGUCUCAAAAAUAAAUCACGAAUCUGCUUAAAGAAGAGGAACGAGUAUCUAAAAUGUGACGUCUGCGACUCUACUGAUCGGACAAAACAGCAUCCAACAGAUUUUCUUACAGAUUCGGAUACUCCGAAUAAAACAUGUUGGAUUUCUGAGGCACUUAUGACGCCUCCCCCGCACAACGUCAGCAUUAGAAUACAUUUUGGUAAAUCGUUUGAGCUUACCUACAUUUCGAUCGUCUUUUGUCAAGACGCUCCUGACAGCGUUGCUCUUUAUAAAUCUAUGGACUACGGUCAGCAUUGGACGCCCUUUCAAUACUAUUCAUCUUCUUGUAUGGACUUUUACGGCGUCAGACCUAAUCAAACCAUUACCCGGGACAAUGAACAAGAAGCUCUCUGUUCUCCUCUCAAGGGCGGUGUUUCCGCGACCUACGAUACUCCAACAAUUGCUUUUUCAACUCUGGAGCACAGGCCAAACUCAUUUAACCUAGACAAUUCACCUGUUCUUCAGGACUGGGUGACGGCUACUGAUAUUAAAAUAAUAUUCGAUCGUCUUUUACAGAACAAUGCUCUGGCCAGCAGUUACAUGACUAUGCAUUAUGCCGUCUCCGAUCUAUCGAUCGGUGGACGAUGCAAGUGUAACGGUCAUGCUGACAGGUGUAUUACGGAUGAAUUUGGAAGGUUGAAAUGUGUUUGUAAACACAAUACGGAAGGCAGAGAUUGCGAGCGGUGCAAGCCAUUAUAUCAGGACAAACCUUGGGCGAGAGCCACAAAGCAGAAUGCCAAUGAAUGCGUCAGAUGCAACUGUAACGGACAUUCGAAUGUUUGUCGUUUUAACAAGGAACUUUACGAAUGGUCUGGCCAUACAUCUGGUGGUAUAUGUCAAGACUGCAAGCAUAAUACCGCAGGAAGAUUCUGUCAUUAUUGCAAGGAGAAGUACUACAGAGACGUAACUGUUAAGAUAUCACAUGAACAAGCUUGUAAAGCUUGUGAUUGCCAUCAUUAUGGAUCAAAAGGAAAAGUUUGCAAUUCAGCGAAUGGACAAUGUCCGUGCAAAGUGGGCGUUAUUGGCCGUAAGUGUAAUCUAUGCGCCACGGGCUACCAACAAACUAGAUCGAAAAUUGUGCCUUGUCAGAGAAAAAUUUCCGGUUUGUACAAUUAGUUUGUCGCCUCAUUGCUUAUUUCCACUUGAUUUUACUAUUUGAUGCAUUGCAGGUCGUAAAUCAGACAGGAGUAAGUAUAUACGACUGUAAUUUUCCAUUAAGAUGAUUUGUAAAACAUUUCUUCAUCGUUUCAGAUCGAAAACACAGACGAAAAAGUAGGUUACGCAAUUAAAUGAAUAGUUUUUUUUUAUGAAUCGAAAAUAACCCUCCCUUUGCAGAAAAUUGCUGGAAGUGUUUAAAGAGAUCAAAGAAAGCGAACGCGACAAAGUUUUGUAAACGUGAUUACGGUAAGAAUUGUAUAUCUCAAUCUUUUUGGCCUAGUUACUUCGUAAAAGAUUUCUAACGUUUUAUGUCUGUUUUGCAACAAAUUUUUAUAGCAUUCCACGUGCAUGUCCUCUACACCAAGCUCAAAAAGAUUAAGGAUGAAGAAUAUCUCGCGCAUAGUGUCAUUAUCAAAAUGGUUUACAAGCGGUUACGUCGUUCUGGAAUGUCUCUGAAAAAAAAUGAAAGAACUGUUUUACUUGUGAAAUAUCUCAGUAAGACUUGUAGCUGCCCUCAACUUUUACCAAAGAAAGAUUAUCUGAUCUUAACUCAACUUCGAUCAGAGAGAAAAAGAAGAUCUUAUGUUGGAAGGCAAGGUCUAUUGCUAAACAGAAAAACAGUUGUAUUGGAUUGGAAGAACACAAAUUAUAUGGAGAGAAAAGUAGACAAAUUUCAGAAACGCCAGCGGUAUCUCGGCUGUAAUUAAUGUUCAUGACCGAGAUGAUUAGGGUAAAUCAAAUUUUCAGCCAAGAGAAGUGUGGUUCUUCAUUUUGUACAUAAAAUAUAUACAGUAUAAACUGUAUGUGAAUAUAUAUAUAUAUAUAUAUAUAUAUAU
rnacentral:misc_RNA from 1 species